UGCCAUUUGAUGAACCCAUAUGGGAUUAGCUAGUUGGUGGGGUAAAGGCUCACCAAGGCGACGAUCUCUAGCUGGUCUGAGAGGAUGACCAGCCACACUGGAACUGAGACACGGUCCAGACUCCUACGGGAGGCAGCAGUGGGGAAUAUUGCACAAUGGGGGAAACCCUGAUGCAGCCAUGCCGCGUGUAUGAAGAAGGCCUUCGGGUUGUAAAGUACUUUCGGURRUGAGGAAGGUGUUGUAUYUAAUAGGUAYAKCAAUUGACGUUAAUUACAGAAGAAGCACCGGCUAACUCCGUGCCAGCAGCCGCGGUAAUACGGAGGGUGCGAGCGUUAAUCGGAAUGACUGGGCGUAAAGGGCAUGUAGGCGGAUGAUUAAGUUAGGUGUGAAAGCCCUGGGCUCAACCUAGGAAUUGCACUUAAAACUGGUUAUCUGGAGUAUUGUAGAGGAAGGUAGAAUUCCACGUGUAGCGGUGAAAUGCGUAGAGAUGUGGAGGAAUACCGGUGGCGAAGGCGGCCUUCUGGACAGAUACUGACGCUGAGAUGCGAAAGCGUGGGGAGCAAACAGGAUUAGAUACCCUGGUAGUCCACGCUGUAAACGAUGUCGAUUUGGAGUUUGUUGCCCUGAGUGAUGGGCUCCGAAGCUAACGCGAUAAAUCGACCGCCUGGGGAGUACGGCCGCAAGGUUAAAACUCAAAUGAAUUGACGGGGGCCCGCACAAGCGGUGGAGCAUGUGGUUUAAUUCGAUGCAACGCGAAGAACCUUACCUGGUCUUGACAUCCAUAGAAUCUUGCAGAGAUGYGAGAGUGCCUUCGGGAGCUAUGAGACAGGUGCUGCAUGGCUGUCGUCAGCUCGUGUUGUGAAAUGUUGGGUUAAGUCCCGCAACGAGCGCAACCCUUAUCCUUUGUUGCCANCGAUUAGGUCGGGAACUCAAAGGAGACUGCCGYUGAUAAAGCGGAGGAAGGUGGGGACGACGUCAAGUCAUCAUGGCCCUUACGACCAGGGCUACACACGUGCUACAAUGGCGUAUACAAAGGGAGGCGACCUCGCGAGAGCAAGCGGACCUCAYAAAGUACGUCUAAGUCCGGAUUGGAGUCUGCAACUCGACUCCAUGAAGUCGGAAUCGCUAGUAAUCGUGAAUCAGAAUGUCACGGUGAAUACGUUCCCGGGC
rnacentral:rRNA from 1 species